rnacentral:rRNA from 1 species
GAUGAACGCUGGCUUCGUGCCUAAUACAUGCAAGUCGAGCGAACGGACGAGAAGCUUGCUUCUCUGAUGUUAGCGGCGGACGGGUGAGUAACACGUGGAUAACCUACCUAUAAGACUGGGAUAACUUCGGGAAACCGUAGCUAAUACCGGAUAAUAUUUUGAACCGCAUGGUUCAAAAGUGAAAGACGGUCUUGCUGUCACUUAUAGAUGGAUCCGCGCUGCAUUAGCUAGUUGGUAAGGUAACGGCUUACCAAGGCAACGAUGCAUAGCCGACCUGAGAGGGUGAUCGGCCACCCUGGAACGGAGACACGGUCCAGACUCCUACGGGAGGCAGCAGUAGGGAAUCUUCCGCAAUGGGCGAAAGCCUGACGGAGCAACGCCGCGUGAGUGAUGAAGGUCUUCGGAUCGUAAUACUCUGUUAUUAGGGAAGAACAUAUGUGUAAGUAACUGUGCACAUCUUGACGGUACCUAAUCAGAAAGCCACGGCUAACUACGUG